CCUACGGUGUGGCUGCAGUGGGGAAUAUUGGACAAUGGGCGAAAGCCUGAUCCAGCCAUGCCGCGUGUGUGAAGAAGGCCUUCGGGUUGUAAAGCACUUUCAGUGGGGAAGAAAGCCUUGGGGCUAAUACCCUCGAGGAAGGACAUCACCCACAGAAGAAGCACCGGCUAACUCCGUGCCAGCAGCCGCGGUAAUACGGAGGGUGCGAGCGUUAAUCGGAAUUACUGGGCGUAAAGCGCGCGUAGGCGGUCUGAUAAGCCGGUUGUGAAAGCCCCGGGCUCAACCUGGGAACGGCAUCCGGAACUGUCAGGCUAGAGUGCAGGAGAGGAAGGUAGAAUUCCCGGUGUAGCGGUGAAAUGCGUAGAGAUCGGGAGGAAUACCAGUGGCGAAGGCGGCCUUCUGGACUGACACUGACGCUGAGGUGCGAAAGCGUGGGUAGCAAACAGGAUUAGAUACCCGGGUAGUC
rnacentral:rRNA from 1 species